rnacentral:rRNA from 1 species
GAUGAACGCUGGCGGCGUGCUUAACACAUGCAAGUCGAACGGACUUUACAUUUUUGAAGCAAUUAGCUUGCUAAGAGUGGAAAUGUUGUAAAGUUAGUGGCGGACGGGUGAGUAACGCGUGGGUAACCUGCCUUAUACCGGGGGAUAACAGGUAGAAAUAGCUGCUAAUACCGCAUAAGCGCACAGUAUCGCAUGAUACAGUGUGAAAAACUCCGGUGGUAUAAGAUGGACCCGCGUCUGAUUAGCCAGUUGGUGAGGUAACGGCUCACCAAAGCGACGUUCAGUAGCCGGCCUGAGAGGGUGAACGGCCACAUUGGGACUGAGACACGGCCCAAACUCCUACGGGAGGCAGCAGUGGGGAAUAUUGGACAAUGGGGGAAACCCUGAUCCAGCGACGCCGCGUGAGUGAAGAAGUAUUUCGGUAUGUAAAGCUCUAUCAGUAGGGAAGAAAAUGACGGUACCUAACUAAGAAGCCCCGGCUAACUACGUGCCAGCCGCCGCAGUAACAC